UACGGAGGAUGCGAGCGUUAUCCGGAUUUAUUGGGUUUAAAGGGUGCGCAGGCGGUCUGUUAAGUCAGCGGUCAAAGCCCGGGGCUCAACUCCGGGACUGCUUUUGAAACUGUGUGACUGGAGUGCAGGAGAGGUAAGCGGAAUUCCUGGUGUAGCGGUGAAAUGCGUAGAUAUCAGGAGGAACACCAGUGGCGAAGGCGGCUUACUGGACUGUAACUGACGUUGAGGCUCGAAAGCGUGGGGAGCAAACAGG
rnacentral:rRNA from 1 species